rnacentral:rRNA from 1 species
GAAAACCACCCCGAUGAGGGGAGUGAAACAGUACCUGAAACCGGAUGCUUACAAGCUGAGGGAGCUCUUCGGAGUGACCUCGUACCUUUUGUAUAAUGGGUCAACGACUUAGUGUUGUAUGCAAGCUUAAACCGUUAGGUGUAGGCGCAGCGAAAGCGAGUCUGAAUAGGGCGACCGAGUAUGCAGCAUUAGACCCGAAGGCAAGUGAUCUAGGUAUGGGCAGGGUGAAGGUGCAGUAACAUGCACUGGAGGCCCGAACCGUUGAGCGUUGAAAAGCUCUCGGAUGACCUGUGCCUAGGGGUGAAAGGCCAAUCAAACUCGGAGAUAGCUGGUUCUCUGCGAAAUCUAUUUAGGUAGAGCGUCGUCUGAAUACCCUCGGGGGUAGAGCACUGAAUGGGUAAUGGGGGCCCACAGCCUUACUGAUCCUAAUCAAACUCCGAAUACCGAGGAGUACUAGACGGCAGACACACAGCGGGUGCUAACGUCCGUCGUGGAGAGGGAAACAACCCUGACCUACAGCUAAGGCCCCUAAUUCAUGGCUAAGUGGGAAAGCAGGUGGGACGACCAAAACAACCAGGAUGUUGGCUUAGAAGCAGCCAUCAUUUAAAGAAAGCGUAAUAGCUCACUGGUCGAGUCGGCCUGCGCGGAAGAUGUAACGGGGCUAAACCAUGCACCGAAGCUGCGGCAGCGACGCUUAUGCGUUGUUGGGUAGGGGAGCGUUCUGUAAGCCUGCGAAGGUGUGCUGUGAGGCAUGCUGGAGGUAUCAGAAGUGCGAAUGCUGACAUAAGUAACGAUAAAGCGGGUGAAAAGCCCGCUCGCCGGAAGACCAAGGGUUCCUGUCCAACGUUAAUCGGGGCAGGGUGAGUCGACCCCUAAGGCGAGGCCGAAAGGCGUAGUCGAUGGGAAACAGGUUAAUAUUCCUGUACUUGGUGUUACUGCGAAGGGGGGACGGAGAAGGCUAUGUUGGCCGGGCGACGGUUGUCCCGGUUUAAGCGUGUAGGCUGGUUUUCCAGGCAAAUCCGGAAAAUCAAGGCUGAGGCGUGAUGACGAGGCACUACGGUGCUGAAGCAACAAAUGCCCUGCUUCCAGGAAAAGCCUCUAAGCAUCAGGUAACAUCAAAUCGUACCCCAAACCGACACAGGUGGUUGGGUAGAGAAUACCAAGGCGCUUGAGAGAACUC